AACAAACCUCCUCACUGAACAAGGAGUUUCUCA
rnacentral:sRNA from 1 species